AUAUGUUCCAUAAUAGUUUGUGGGUAACUCAACAAGGUCUAGGGCUAAGCAUGUGUAGAAGAAUCCUACAGCUUAUGAAUGGUCAAGUCCAGUAUAUCAGAGAAUCAGAAAGAUGUUUUUUCCUUAUUAUCCUUCAACUACCAAUGCUGAUUCAAUGAUAGUUUAACAACAGCUAUAUUCAUCACAAAAUGUACAUUAUGACUAAGCAACUACUGAUACAGGUAUUGAAUCAUCCUUGUGCUGUUG
rnacentral:misc_RNA from 1 species